rnacentral:RNase_P_RNA from 1 species
GGUCCUGAGUGAUCGCGGUCUGCUUUUGCAGGCUGAGGAAAGUCCAUGCCCGCACAAGCUGAGAUGCUUGUAGUGUUCGUGCUAAGCCCAAUAAGCUUAGGGGCCGUGUAAACGGCUACGGCGGCCAAACGCGCUAAGGCGUCAGCUAUGCGCUAGUAGGUCUGAAAAGUGCCACAGUGACGAAACGAUCAGGGAAACCUGAGCGGUGGAACGGGUAAACCCCGCGAGCGAGUAACCCAAACUUUUGGUAGGGGCGUUUUGCCAAGCAAAUUGAAGCGACGGCAAUACAGCGGU